rnacentral:rRNA from 1 species
UAGGGAAUCUUCGGCAAUGGACGGAAGUCUGACCGAGCAACGCCGCGUGAGUGAAGAAGGUUUUCGGAUCGUAAAACUCUGUUGUUAGAGAAGAACAAGGGUGAGAGUAACUGUUCACCCCUUGACGGUAUCUAACCAGAAAGCCACGGCUAACUACGUGUCAG